rnacentral:rRNA from 1 species
UACAGAGGUCCCAAGCGUUGUUCGGAUUCACUGGGCGUAAAGGGUGCGUAGGCGGCCGGGUAAGUCUGAUGUGAAAUCCCGCAGCUCAACUGCGGAACGGCAUUGGAUACUAUUCGGCUCGAGGAGUGGAGGGGAGACUGGAAUACUUGGUGUAGCAGUGAAAUGCGUAGAUAUCAAGUGGAACACCAGUGGCGAAGGCGAGUCUCUGGACACUUCCUGACGCUGAGGCACGAAAGCCAGGGGAGCAAACGGG